CUGCACUCCUAACAUACCCUUGUCUUUUGAGUACUUAUGUUUCCUUGGUAGGCUUGCCUGCCGAUAGGACAACCUUUAAACCUUUUAAUAUAUCAAUCAGCGUCUGAUAAAUAUUUAAUAAUUACAACUUUCAACAACGGAUCUCUUGGUUCUGGCAUCGAUGAAGAACGCAGCGAAAUGCGAUAAGUAGUGUGAAUUGCAGAAUUCAGUGAAUCAUCGAAUCUUUGAACGCACAUUGCGCCCCUUGGUAUUCCAUGGGGCAUGCCUGUUCGAGCGUCAUUUGUACCCUCAAGCUAUGCUUGGUGUUGGGUGAUUGUCCCGUCUUUUCUAGUCAGGACUCGCCUUAAAGUAAUUGGCAGCCAGUAUUUUGGGGUAAAGCGCAGCACAUUUUGCGAUUUAGUCCAGUAAUAUUAGCAACCAUCAAGUUUUAUAUAUCACUUUUGACCUCGGAUCAGGUAGGGAUACCCGCUGAACUUAAGCAUAUCAAUAAGCGGAGGAAUCUUGCUGAAAAACUCGAGCCAUCCGGAAGAUCUGGCGGCCGCUCUCCCUAUAGUGAGUCGUAUUACGCCGGAUGGAUAUGGUGUUCAGGCACAAGUGUUAAAGCAGUUGAUUUUAUUCACUAUGAUGAAAAAAACAAUGAAUGGAACCUGCUCCAAGUUAAAAAUAGAGAUAAUACCGAAAACUCAUCGAGUAGUAAGAUU
rnacentral:rRNA from 1 species